AUUGAACGCUGGCGGCAGGCCUAACACAUGCAAGUCGAACGAGUGGCGGACGGGUGAGUAAUGUCUGGGAAACUGCCCGAUGGAGGGGGAUAACUACUGGAAACGGUAGCUAAUACCGCAUACCAUCGGAUGUGCCCAGAUGGGAUUAGCUAGUAGGGGGGGUAACGGCUCACCUAGGCGACGAUCGCUAGCUGGUCUGAGGGGAUGACGAGACACACGGGAACUGAGACACGGUCAAGACUCCUACGGGAGGCAGAAGUGGGGAAUAUGGCACAAGGGGCGAAAGCCGGAUGCAGCCAUGCCGAGUGUAGGAAGAAGGCCUUCGGGUUGUAAAGUACUUUAAGCGAGGAGGCGUUACUCGCAGAAGAAGCACCGGCUAACUCCGUGCCAGCAGCCGCGGUAAUAC
rnacentral:rRNA from 1 species